GCCCCCGUAGCUCAAUUGGAUAGAGCACCCCGCUUCUAACGGGGAGGUUGUGAGUUCGAUUCUCACCGGGGGUG
rnacentral:tRNA from 1 species